AUCGAACGCUGGCGGCAGGCCUAACACAUGCAAGUCGAACGAGUGGCGGACGGGUGAGUAAUGUCUGGGAAACUGCCCGAUGGAGGGCGAUAACUACUGGAAACGGUAGCUAAUACCGCAUACCAUCGGAUUUGCCUCGCUGGGAUUAGCUGGUAGGGGGGGUAACGGCUCACCCAGGCGACGAUCCCUAGCUGGUCGGAGAGGAGGACCAGCCACACUGGAACUGAGACACGGCCCAGACUCCUACGGGAGGCAGCAGUGGGGAAUAUUGCGCAAUGGGCGCAAGCCUGAUGCAGCCAUGCCGCGUGUGUGAAGAAGGCCUUCGGGUUGUAAAGUACUUUCAGCGAGGAGGCGGUACUCGCAGAAGAAGCACCGGCUAACUCCGUGCCAGCAGCCGCGGUAAUAC
rnacentral:rRNA from 1 species